rnacentral:lncRNA from 1 species
GGCCGGCGGGGAGGCCUGGGUGGGGAGGCCUGUGGUGGGUUGCCUCCUCCAGGCUUCCCUCACACAAGAGAAGGACUGCCGUCCACUGCACCAUGUGUGUGGAGCGGCCCAGGGACCAGGGCCAGCCGAGAGCUCGGCCCAGAGCCAGGCUGACUCGCAGCUUACCGCCUGUGGCUGUUGUCAACUUCCUGCCCUGCCCACCCACAGGGAGCGAGGAGUCCGGGCUCCCUUACUUCCCUGGAGUAAGGCUGGGAAGGUGGCGUUUGGGAAGUUCCCUUCAGCUCCAAAUGCCCAGGCCCAGGCUGAGCUGGAGGGGCUGGACUGGCGUCUGUGGUCCUCCUUGGCCUGGCUACAGCCCCUGGAGAGGCCUUGGGGCAGAGGCUCUGGGGGUCAGCUGGUCCCCUCUCUGGACACAGGAUCUCCAGGGGGAUCAGAGGUGUCACUGCUGGGGCAGGGCUCCCCUUGAUCGUAGAAAUGAAAUAAGGCGCCCCAAAACGAAGGGGAUGCCUGGUCUCUCCUCGGAUCCUGGGGCUUGGGAAGAGCCGGGAAGUGGUGUUCACUCCAGGUUGAGAGGCCGCGCGGCUCCGUGCCUCAGUUUCCCGGUAGGUACGAUAAGAGCGCGCCCUCCACUCCAGGAGUCGCAAGCCUCGCACCUGGCCGCCAUUAGCGUGGCCCGGGGCCUGCGUUUCUUUUCGUCCAUCUUCUGGGUUCCCACCAGGGACCCUCGAAGAGAAAUCAAGCCAGGGAAAGGGAAUAAACCAGAGUGGCCUUUAUGUUUACAAGGUGGGAUGGCAGGGGAGGGUGGGGAGCCGCCGCCCACGCUGCGCCCGGCUCCGCGAGAACCAGCGCCGAGUCUCUGGACCCGCUGCGGACCCCGGCGUGGCGGGCCCGCCCCUCCCCAGACGCUUCCCGCGCCGCCCGCGGUGCCAGGCCGCCGCUUCCGCCGACCCGGAGAGCGACUGGCUCAGGGUCAGGGUCAGAGGCCCCCUGCCCCGGCCCGGUCCUUCAGCCAGCCCUCCCCAAAGUCCCUCUGACGGCCCAGCCCUCCUCCCAAGACAGCGCACGCAGCGCGCAUCUCGCGCCCGCCCCGGAGCGCCGCCGGCCCUGCCCGUCCCCAGGGUCGCGGCCGCCGCGGGUGCUCCCC